rnacentral:tRNA from 1 species
GCCCCCAUCGUCUAGAGGCCUAGGACACCGCCCUUUCACGGCGAAGGCACCGGUUCGAAUCCGGUUGGGGGUACCA